GCCCAUAGACUCGAGGGGGUUAAAAGGUCAUAUAUUUUUACAGUUAAAUGAUGUCUUUACUAUAAAUAUUUUUUUUAAAUGAGGAGGGGUGGGGCCCUCCAAAUGAUUAAGUUUGUCCCUGGGUCCAGGUCCAACUUUUUGGAUAGGAGAAGGCCUCCAAUCUCUCCAAAAUAAAGACUCAAUUUAUAUAUUUUCAGCCCAGAGCUUCUCAUUCCAGACCCUAUUUGGGUGCCAAUUUGGUAUGAUUAAAUGACCAACCAAGUUUAUACCAACUUCUACCAGUCUGUAUGUUGAUUGCAUAUAUUACUUUCUAUUCUUAUCCCAAACAAAUUCACUGACCCUUGCUUUUACAUUUCUUUAAUGACCUGACUGGGUUGUUGUUCAAGAGAAAUAGACUGCUUGUGUCAGCUCAGAUGGUAAACAAUCACCUAGGAUCAAGACCAAAACCAGGAAAGGUAACCAAGCAGUAGGCGUGGCUUGGUUGACAUAAACAGUUGUGUCCCUUAGUAACCAGGUAAGUGGUCUCAGUUUGGCGUAGAGACUGAAAGCUGAUCGAAAGGUGUGGGACAUACGGCUAAAGAGCUACAGCGACUGGAGAAGGAGAGGGACAACAAGGACAGCAGAGCAGAGUCUGCCCCAUCCACCAACAGCUGAUGCCAUUUCUCUCUUGGUCUGUAGUUGCCCCAGCAGCCUACUACCUUCAUACAGCAGUUACCACAGCAACAGCCCUUCAUACAAAAGAUGCCCCCUCCUCAGCCAAACCAUGCACCACAGUCUGGGAGCAUCAAAGACAUGGUGGAGCUGAUGUUGAUGCAGAAUGCAUCAGAUCAUAAUGCACAACAUGAUGCUGAAAGCAAUGUCUCCCACGGCCCUGUCACCACCUAACCCAGGACAGGUCCGUUUCACACACACCCACAUCAUUUAUGUCAAAUCAAAUCGGAUUUAUCACAAGCGCCGAAUACAACAGAUGUAGACCUUACUGUGACAUGCUUACAAGCUCUUAACCAACAAUGUAGCUCAAGAAAGAGGGUCAGUCAAUGUAAAUAGUCCAGAUGGCCAUUUGAUUAAUUGUUCAGCAUGUUUGAUAAGCAUUGUUUUGGUAUAGCCAAAUAUGAUGGUUUUAUGGAGAAUUUGCUUCUUGGUACUGGCAACAAGUUGUAAAUUCAAAUGUGUAGGCCUACUAUGAUUCGUGGCUGCUACAGAGAAUAUGCAAAUGAUAAAGGUAUGUAAACAUGCAUCAUGACUUCAAAAUAAAUAAAACAAGAUUUGCAAACAUG